UACGUAGGGUGCGAGCGUUAAUCGGAAUUACUGGGCGUAAAGCGUGCGCAGGCGGUUCGCUGUGUCCGAUGUGAAAGCCCCGGGCUUAACCUGGGAAUGGCAUUGGAAACUGGCGGGCUUGAGUGCGGCAGAGGGGGGUGGAAUUCCGCGUGUAGCAGUGAAAUGCGUAGAGAUGCGGAGGAACACCGAUGGCGAAGGCAGCCCCCUGGGUCGACACUGACGCUCAGGCACGAAAGCGUGGAGAGCAAACAGG
rnacentral:rRNA from 1 species